CGGGUAAUAAGGUUCGGCCACGCCCCCGGCCACGCCCCAUUGGGUUGGGGGGGGGCAGACCCCUCAGGAAGGGCCCCCCCCCAGACGCUGCGCCCCCAGAGAAGAGGGGUCCAGGAGGGUCCCCCGGAUCCCCAGGGUGAGUGACCCCCAAAAGCGGGGUGUCCCCCCCUUUCUCCCCACAGAGGGGUCCCCAGACCCUCACAGGGGGGUCCCUCAUCCCCAUUCAGGGGGGGUUCUCCUCACGAUACCGCCGAUGGGGUCCGUCAGAGGCUCCCGAGACCCCAAAAGUGGGGUGUCCCCCCCCUUUCUCCCCACAGAGGGGUCCCCCAUCCCCAUCCAGAGGGGCUUCUCCUCACGAAAUCCUCGAGGGCUCCCUCGGCGAGCCCCCAGACCCCCAAAAGCGGGGUGUCCCCCCCUUUCUCCUCACAGGGGGGUCCCCCGUCCCCAUCCAGAGGGGCUUCUCCUCAUGAAACCCCCCGGCGCUCCCUCAGAGGGUUCGUAGACCCCAAAAUCGGGGUCUUCUCCCCUCUUUCUCCCCACAGCGGGGUCCCCAGCCCCUCACAGCGGGGUCCCCCGUCCCCAUCCAGGGGGGCUUCUCCUCACGACACCCCCCGGCGCUCCUUCUGAGGGUCCUGAGACCCCCAAAACCGGGGUGUCCCCCCCUUUCUCCCCACAGAGGGGUCCCCCAUCCCCAUCCAGAGGGGCUUCUCCUCACGAAAUCCUCGAGGGCUCCCUCGGCGAGCCCCCAGACCCCCAAAAGCGGGGUGUCCCCCCCUUUCUCCUCACAGGGGGGUCCCCCGUCCCGCAUCCAGAGGGGGAUUCUCCUCACGACACCCCCUCAGCGAGCCCCCAGAGCCCCAAAAUGGGGGUCGUCUCCCCCCUUUCUCCCCACAGAGGGGUCCCCCAUCCCCAUCCAGGGGGCUUCUCCUCAUGAAAUCCUCGAGGGCUCCCUCGGCGAGCCCCCAGACCCCCAAAAGCGGGGUGUCCCCCCCUUUCUCCUCACAGGGGGAUCCCCCAUCCUCAUCCAGAGGGGCUUCUCCUCACAAAACCCCCCGGCGCUCCUUCUGAGGGUCCUGAGACCCCCAAAAACGGGGUGUCUCCCCCUUUCUCCCCACAGAUGGGUCCCCCAGCCCCAUCCAGCGGGGCUUCUCCUCAGGAAAUCCUCCAGGGCUCCCUCGUCGAGCCCCCAGAUCCACAAAAGCGGGGUGUCCCCCCCUUUCUCCCCACAGAGGGGUCCCCAGACCCUCAUAGGGGGGUCCCCCAUCCUCACCCAGAGGGGCUUCUCCUCACGAAACCCACCGGUGCUCCUUCAGAGGGUCCCGAGACCCCAAAAUGGGGUGUCCCCCCCUUCCUCCCCACAGAGGGGUCCCCAGACCCUCACAGGGGGGUCCCCCAUCCCCAUCAAAGGGGGGUUCUCCUCACGAAAUCCUCCAGGGCUCCCUCGGCCAGCCCCCAGACCCCCCAAAAUGGGGUGUCCCCCCCCUUUCUCCCCACAGAGGGGUCCCCAG
rnacentral:lncRNA from 1 species